GACGAACGCUGGCGGCGUGCUUAACACAUGCAAGUCGAACGGUGAACUCCGCUUGCGGGGGGAUCAGUGGCGAACGGGCGAGUAACACGUGGGCAACUUGCCCUCAGCUCUGGGAUAACUCCAAGAAAUUGGGGCUAAUACCAGAUAUGACCGCUGACCGCAUGGUCUGGUGGUGGAAAGAUUUAUCGGCUGGGGAUGGGCCCGCGGCCUAUCAGCUUGUUGGUGGGGUAGUGGCCUACCAAGGCGACGACGGGUAGCCGGCCUGAGAGGGUGACCGGCCACACUGGGACUGAGACACGGCCCAGACUCCUACGGGAGGCAGCAGUGGGGAAUAUUGCGCAAUGGGCGGAAGCCUGACGCAGCGACGCCGCGUGGGGGAUGACGGCCUUCGGGUUGUAAACCUCUUUCAGCAGGGACGAAGCGAGAGUGACGGUACCUGCAGAAGAAGCACCGGCCAACUACGUG
rnacentral:rRNA from 1 species